rnacentral:rRNA from 1 species
AUACGGAGGAUCCGAGCGUUAUCCGGAUUUAUUGGGUUUAAAGGGAGCGUAGGCGGACGCUUAAGUCAGUUGUGAAAGUUUGCGGCUCAACCGUAAAAUUGCAGUUGAUACUGGGUGUCUUGAGUACAGUAGAGGCAGGCGGAAUUCGGGGGGUAGCGGUGAAAUGCUUAGAUAUCACGAAGAACUCCGAUUGCGAAGGCAGCCUGCUGGACUGUAACUGACGCUGAUGCUCGAAAGUGUGGGUAUCAAACAGGAUUAGAUACCCUGGUAGUCCACACAGUAAACGAUGAAUACUCGCUGUUUGCGAUAUACAGUAAGCGGCCAAGCGAAAGCGUUAAGUAUUCCACCUGGGGAGUACGCCGGCAACGGUGAAACUCAAAGGAAUUGACGGGG